rnacentral:rRNA from 1 species
AACGAACGCUGGCGGCGUGCCUAACACAUGCAAGUCGAACGAGAAAGGGGCUUCGGCUCCGAGUAAAGUGGCGUACGGGUGAGUAACACGUGGGUAACCUGCCUCUAAGAUUGGGAUAACUCGUCGAAAGAUGAGCUAAUACCGGAUAAGACCACAGUUCCCGCGGGAACAGGGGUCAAAGGUAGCCUCUGCUUGCAAGCUAUCACUUAGAGAUGGGCCUGCGCACCAUUAGCUAGUUGGUAGGGUAACGGCCUACCAAGGCAAAGAUGGUUAGCUGGUCUGAGAGGAUGAUCAGCCACACUGGAACUGAGACACGGUCCAGACUCCUACGGGAGGCAGCAGUGGGGAAUAUUGCGCAAUGGGCGAAAGCUUGACGCAGCAACGCCGCGUGAGUGAUGAAGGCCUUCGGGUCGUAAAGCUCUGUCGGGAGGAACGAAUGCUCCCAAGGUUAACAGCCUCGGGAGGUGACGGUACCUUCAAAGGAAGCACCGGCUAACUCUGUGCCAGCCGCCGCGGUAAGAC